ACAGCAGAGCAGAAAGUGUAUGAAUGAAUCCUUACAAGAGCGCUGUUAAUGACGGCGACCUUCAUGGGCCGGUGCCCAAUCACGCUAUGUCGACCACUUUUUGCUGUUGCACCAGUGACCACUGAUGCGCCCAAGUGUUUUAGCUUUGCCUGCCCAUCAUUACACGAUCUUCAAACCGUCGCUCUUUUUCAGUCGCUUGUAGUUCGUAGCGCUUGAAUCUGUGACCUUGAGUUCCGGGCCACACGAUUUUAAUAAAAACUACUAAUUCAUAACUUGUACUUUGCUAUUAUUUAUAUUUAAAAAAAUCAGAGUAAGUUACGGAAUCCCCGUUAGGGAAAUUC
rnacentral:lncRNA from 1 species